GAUUGACGGUUGCUGCACUCUGAUUGGUGCAUUCGACUAGAGAGCCUGGGUUCAAAUUUUCAACGGUAGUGAAUGAAGUCCCGCGGCGAUCUUCCGGGCGCUCGGUCGUCAGAGCUGAGGCAAGAAGGUGAUCUGUUGAAAAAAGUGACAGGAGUACUGGGAAAAACCUGCUCUUCUGUGCCAAGGCAGGGGACAAUGUCACAAGUUAAAACUUCCUAUUCCUAUGAUGCUCCCACGGACUUCAUCAAUUUUACCUCUUUGGAUGAUGAGGAAGAUACCCAAAACAUAGAUUCUUGGUUUGAAGAGAAGGCCAAUUUGGAGAAUAAGUUUCCUGCGAAGAAUGGCAUAGCAGGGCUUUUUCAGGGCAAAACUCCUCUGAGGAAGCCUAAUCCUCAGCAAGCUAUUGUCACGCCUUUGAGACCAGUUGACAACACUUAUUACAAAGAGGCAGAAAAAGAAAAUCUAGUGGAACAGUCCAUUCCAUCAAAUUCUUGCUCUUCCCUGGAAGUCAAGGCAACCACCUCAAAAAAUACUCCAGUGCAGCCUCCGAGAAGAUCUACUAGACUCUCUGCUCAGAAAGAUUUGGAACAGAAAGAAAAACAUGUAAAAAUGAAAGCCAAGAGAUGUGCUACUCCUGUAAUCAUCAGUGAAAUUCCACCCUCCAAAAAAAUGAAAGUUUCUAACAAUAAAAAGAAGCCAGAGGAAGAGGAAGAAGGCAGCGCUCAUCAAGAUACUUCAGAAAAACAUGCAUCUUCCCCAGAGAAAGCCAAGGGAAGACAUACUGUGUCUUGUAUACAGCCUGUGAGGCAGAAGAUUCUAAAAAGUACUGAGGAGCAAGAGUUGGAGAAGAGAAUGAAAAUGCAACAGGAGGUGGUGGAGAUGCGGAAGAAGAAUGAAGAAUUCAAGAAACUUGCUCUUGCCGGAAUAGGGCAACCUGUGAAGAAAUCCGUGAGCCAGGUAACCAAAUCAGUUGACUUCCACUUCCGCACAGAUGAACGAAUCAAACAACAUCCUAAGAACCAGGAGGAAUAUAAGGAAGUGAACUUUACAUCUGAACUGCGAAAGCAUCCUCCAUCUCCUGCCCGAGUGACUAAGGGAUGCACCAUUAUUAAGCCUUUCAACCUGUCCCAAGGAAAGAAAAGAACAUUUGAUGAAACAGCUUCUACAUACGUGCCGCUUGCACAGCAGGUCGAAGCCUUUCAUAAACGAACCCCUAACAGAUAUCACUUGAGGAGCAAGAAGGAUGAUACUCUGUUACCUUCCAAAUCUGCUGUGGUCAAGAUAUCCAGAGACCCACAGACUCCUGUGUUGCAAACCAAACAGCGCACAAGGCCUGUGACCUGCAAAAGUGCGGCGGAUCAGGAGGCAGAGGAGCUUGAGAAACUGCAACAAUACAAAUUCAAAGCACGGGAACUUGAUCCCAGAAUUCUUGAAGGUGGGCCCAUCUUGCCCAAGAAACCACCUGUGAAGCCACCCACUCAGCCUAUUGGCUUUGAUUUGGAAAUUGAGAAGAGAAUCCAGGAGCGGGAGUCAAAGAAGAAAUCAGAGGAUGAACACUUUGAAUUUCAUUCCAGACCUUGCCCUACUAAAAUCUUGGAAGAUGUUGUGGGUGUUCCUGAAAAGAAAGUACUUCCAAUCACUGUCCCCAAGUCACCGGCAUUUGCCUUGAAGAAUAGAAUCCGAAUGCCCACCAAAGAAGAUGAGGAAGAGGAGGAGCCGGUAGUGAUAAGAGCUCAACCUGUGCCGCAUUAUGGGGUGCCUUUUAAGCCCCAAAUCCCAGAGAUAAGAACUGUGGAAUUAUGCCCUUUCUCUUUUGAUUCUCGAGACAAAGAACGUCAGUUACAGAAGGAGAAGAAAAUAAAAGAACUGCAGAAAGGGGAGGUGCCCAAGUUUAAGGCACUUCCUUUGCCUCAUUUUGACACCAUUAACCUGCCAGAGAAGAAGGUGAAGAACACAACUCAGAUUGAGCCUUUCUGCCUGGAGACUGACAGAAGAGGUGCUCUGAAGGCACAGACUUGGAAGCAUCAGCUGGAGGAAGAACUGAAACAGCAGAGAGAAGCAGCUUGCUUCAAGGCUCGUCCAAACACCGUCAUCUCCCAGGAGCCCUUUGUUCCCAAGAAAGAGAAGAAAUCUGUUGCAGAGGGCCUCUCUGGUUCUCUAGUUCAGGAACCUUUUCAGCUGGCCACCGAGAAGAGAGCCAAGGAGCGGCAGGAGCUGGAGAAGAGAAUGGCUGAGGUAGAAGCUCAGAAAGUCCAGCAGUUGGAGGAGGCCAGGCACCAGGAGGAAGAGCAGCAGAGGGAGGAGCUGGCCAGGCUACGGAAAGAACUGGUGCACAAGGCAAAUCCAAUACGCAAGUACCAGGGUGUGGAAGUAAAGUCCAGUGACCAGCCUCUGACUGUGCCCGUUUCUCCCAAGUUCUCCACUCGAUUCCACUGCUAACCUCAGCCAUGAGCUGCAGACACCACCUGGGAGCAGGAACUGCUCUUUUCAUCAAACCAGGAGCCUUCUUUCCUUGUCACCAGGGCAUGGGGAGAACCCAUCUCUCUAGACUUUCACCUGCUCAUGCCUAACAGAGCGUACCUGACAAGUGUGGACUCCAAUUUUGUUGAGAAUUGUUUUCCUACAUUAUUGAGGCCAAUAAUGAGACUCAUCUGAUGCAUGUCUCCCUCUGACUUCAUGUAGUUAUUUCCUUUGAACCAUCAGUCGACCUUUAAUAUGAGUCUUAACUCUGACUAGAGUUUAAAGUCUCUGUAUCAGCACAGUAUACUUUCUGUUGCCUCUUUGCCCCCUCCCCCUUUUUUUCUAUUUUAAUCAGAAAAUAAAGAUAGUUAAAUACUAAGAUAGGAUUUAAGUCAUGGCUUACCUGAGGAACAGUCAGUAUAUCAGAUUCUUUCCUCAUCUCUGCACAAAAUGAAUUUAGAGUUAAGGAGCCUGUCUCUAUGAGGGUGGAAGCCUCAUUAACUGCACAACCACGAGGAAGACCACGGACCCACUGGAGCCUCAUAGCAGCCAUCGGCAAGUUUUGGGGCAGAACUGCUGUUAAGGCACAUUCUUCCCUUGCCAGUGCUGAUAAUAACAGGGAAUGCCACGCAGUACACGUUUUAAGUCCUCUGAUAAACUGGAGCGGAAUAAAUAUGCUUGUCUUCCCCUCCCUGAUUUUGUUACUUCCUGUUUUUAAUUCUGUCAAGCCCCUUUGGAGGUCACAUCUCACUGGAGAAAUGGGUACUUUGAGAGGAGGAGGGUCCAGGAACUUUUCAAAGCACCGGCUCUGUCCUUAGAGGAAAGUGCUUUGUAACAUUUUUUUGUCCUUCCGUAUUUUGUUAACUCCCUUCCAGGAACCACUCUGGAAGGCAGUUGUGUGUUAUGCCUUCACACAGAUCUGUGCCUUCUUUCCUAAAUGUGCUUUUUCUCAUCUGGGAAGCUUUCUUAUAAGACUAAAGUAAAAUCUUUUUCAUAAAUCCUUCCUUGACCACCUGACCUCUGCAGGCAAGGGUGAUCAUUCCUUCUGUGUGCCUCCCAAAUGCUUCUUGUAUAUGUCUCUAGUAGAACAGUUAUACUGCUGAAUUACUUGUACUUGUUCACAAACUGGUAGAGACCCAGAUACCUAAGAUUUUCUUAGUCCUUGAAAAUAAAAAUAAUCUUAGUCAUCUCUAUAUUUUUUGUAGCUGGCACAGAAUUUGCUAGAUCCAUGUUAAGUAGUGUAUUUUCUUUUAGACUCGGCAUUAUUUAUGAACUCUACUCUUUACUAGUCCUCUACUCCUGUGCUAAAGGAUAUAAAAGCAUCCAUAGUCUGCCCAGGCCAGUCCUAGACACCAUAGAGGAUAGUAAACCUGUUUUAUAUUCCUUUCAUUUAUUCAUUCAGUGAGCAUUAUGAACAGGCUGUUGUAGAUUCUGCGAUGGAUGACAAAGCAAGACAUGAUUUGCAGAUCACCGAGCCUCCUGAAGACCCACUGACUGAUGCAAGAUAGUGUCUUUAUUCAUUUCCUAGAAGUCUAGUGUACAGGUCCAUCCUACUUAUGUAAUGAUUUAACAACUAUUUACUUGGUGCUAAGUGUAUAUACCUUGGGACCACUUAGUCUCUGGGAAUACAGCAAUGAACAGAAAUAGAAGAACUUGCCUUCAUGGACCUUACCUUUUAGGAGGAAAGACCAUAAGCAAGUAACUGUCCUCUCUUCUGUCAUGUGAGUUUUGUCCCUGGAAAGUGGAGCUUGAGUGGUAGACAGGCUACAGUUGCAGCUGCUCCAGAGUUUAACGGAGAUGAGACCUGUAUACGAGGCAUUGUAACACAAGAUAAGAUGUGACUGAGUAAUGUGAGACACUGAAAGUACUGAGGGAGUUCUGAGAUUCUUUUUGGAGGUGAGAUUGCAGUUCUUAAAGAUGUGUCUUUCUGUUUUUAAGUGAAAAUUGCCAAAGUAGUAUAGUAUGUCUUUUGGAAACAAUUAAAAUAAUGCAGACCAUAUAGAAUAAACCAUGCAAGUCUCCUUAUUUCCCUACUCUCGUUUCCCAGGAGUACCCCAUUGAUAACAGUUGCAUAUUCUUCCAGAAUAUUUUUAUGUACACAGAUUUCUAGAGCAUUUUUCUUUUUUUGUAAUAAUAAGAUUAUAGCAUUC